GGGGCAACGGCCCACCAAGCCGACGAUCGGUAGCCGGACUGAGAGGUUGAACGGCCACAUUGGGACUGAGACACGGCCCAGACUCCUACGGGAGGCAGCAGUGAGGGAUAUUGGUCAAUGGGGGAAACCCUGAACCAGCAACGCCGCGUGAGGGAAGACGGUUUUCGGAUUGUAAACCUCUGUCCUCUGUGAAGAUGAUGACGGUAGCAGAGGAGGAAGCUCCGGCUAACUACGUGCCAGCAGCCGCGGUAAUACGUAGGGAGCAAGCGUUGUCCGGAUUUACUGGGUGUAAAGGGUGCGUAGGCGGCUUUGCAAGUCAGAAGUGAAAUCCAUGGGCUUAACCCAUGAACUGCUUUUGAAACUGCAGAGCUUGAGUGGAGUAGAGGUAGGCGGAAUUCCCGGUGUAGCGGUGAAAUGCGUAGAGAUCGGGAGGAACACCAGUGGCGAAGGCGGCCUGCUGGGCUCUAACUGACGCUGAGGCACGAAAGCGUGGGUAGCAAACAGGAUUAGAUACCCUGGUAGUCCACGCUGUAAACGAUGAUUACUAGGUGUGGGUGGACUGACCCCAUCC
rnacentral:rRNA from 1 species